rnacentral:lncRNA from 1 species
GAAGGUUUUUGACAAGUACUGAGAGUUAAUUCUAUAAUUGUGGAAGAUGUCAUUUAAAUCUUGCUAUUAAAGCCAGUUGGACAAUAAUACCUGAAGCCAGUUUCAGUAUUUUGUCUUAAAGAUAGUAAGUACAAAAUGAAACAUUGCCUAGGAACUUGGAUGAAUCGGGACAAUCUAGAGUAAGUGUUGUGCAUGUGUGCUAGUCACAUUUUACAGUACUGUCAUAAAGUUGGCAAACAGCACAAAAUUAUAAAGCUGUCUUAUGUAUGUUGUGAGCAUCCCAAGUGUUAAGUGUAAUGUGUGUUGCUAUUUAAUAUUUUUCAAUAGCCUCUCAUUUACUGACUGCCUCAAUGCUGCUUCUCCAUGCCCAGUUAUGAUAUUUUGGUGACUGGGAAGAGAAUGAAAGAGGUUUAGGACUGAAAGGCACAGUUAGAACAAACCAAAUAAUCACAUGCUUAAUAAGUACUUGAGAAGGAAAAAUAAGUUAUAAGCUUUGUCUCUUCUAGGACUGGAAUAGUUUCAUAAAUUACAGUGAUGAAAUGAGUUCAUAUGCCAUCCUUAAUACCUGCAACACUGGAUGGAAAUAAAAUGGUUCCUGACUUUAUUCAUUCUUCUGCUGUGCACUGUUUUAUUGUGUUUGGAGAAUUAACUCUGCAGACAUUAAUCAUGUUCACUUAAAGUUCCCCCAAUGGUGGGGGAGUUUGGGGGGAGGGGGGAGGGAGGAGUAUGCUUUCCAAAACCCUCAGAUUUGGAAACUUCUUGUAGUAUCUUGAAGUUCUUGAAAACAUAAUCUCAGUUAUGGUAAAAUUGACUAAGGUAAAGUGUGCUUUUAAUUAUAUCAUUUUCAUCAAGUGUGCAACUAUGCAUUCUAGCUUGUAAAUACAAAUAAUCACAGACAAGCCAGUUUUAGCACUAGAGUGCUUCUAGUCAUCUCUUCUUCCCAUUUCAGUGUUACUUACAUGGAGAGUAAGGUCUGUUUUGAAAAUAUCACAAGCAAAUCUGAUCAUUGUGAAAGUAGAUGUCCCUACAAUAGCAGUGCAAGAGGCUUAUAUUUUGUCAAUUUGCACCACUUCAAGAGGAUUGGAUUCUUUUUUACGGUAUGCUCGGGUGUUUACAAGAGAUGCAGAGAAAGGCCAGAGAGUUUAAUGGCUAGAAUCUCCAGCCUUGCUUUCAAUCCAGUGUGCCUUUAUU